UUAAAGAGCGGGUCAAUUGAGCCUCGGAGUCCUUCUCCACCCACGUAUCAAUUUUAAAAAAUGCAACAUUAGUAGGCGUUGCCUGGAGGACCGAGAGGGCGGAGCCGCGGCAGUGACGAAGACGAUGGCUAACUAGACGAAGCUAGCUCCCUUCACUCUGAGCAGUUGAUAGAAGUGGAGGACGUUUCUCCCCCUCCUUACAGACACUCGAGAAGAAAGGGACCAAGUCUAUUUGGAGGAGACAAGCGGACCUGAGUCUUAUUGUUUUGAGCUUGUGAGUUGCCUGAAACUCCCAGAACCGACCCAACAGAAUCACCUCUGAAAGGUCCUCUGGUGUCUGCAGCUGGUCUCUGGUGUCUGCAGCUGGUCUCCUCUGCUGGUGUCCUCAGGAUCAGGAACUUCCAGAAGAAUGUGCCUUUCAAUGACUCUUUCCCCCUUAUUUGUUAUAUUAAUUAAAUAAAUCUCAAUUUAUAUA